CCUGAAGAAUAAUAUGGUAAAAUUUGUCAGUUCUGACCAAUCACAUCAAAACGACUUUCAGACGACUGGCUGUUAAGAUACUAAUGUCACUCGGGUUUUAGAAAUGAGGAUUUUAGCAGUACUACUGCUAUGUGCAUUUGUGAGACCAGGCGACCAGCGACUGAAGACUUAUUGUUUCGAUUAUCCAAUACUUCCAUAUUAUACAGACGCUUACUUACCUAUUAAUGAGUGUUAUUUUCUGCGGAAGGGUCCACAAUACGAACUCUUCUUCAUGCUUCUCCUGUUGUUUCCGGGGAGUGAAGACAUGAUCGACAGUGUUAUUGCGGCACCACCCCCAUCACCAACAUGACGAACAGAGAGAUGAUUAUUGUCAGAUUGAUGUUUAAUUUUGAAAUGCAACAUUUGGUUAAACUUUACUAUAUGACUUUUUUGCUGUAAAUGUGAACUUGAUGCUACUCGAGUACAUGAUUUAAGGGAAUAAACUGGGGGUAAAUAACAAAUGUGAC